AAACCGGAGCUAAUACCGGAUAUGACACGCCCCUGCAUGGGGAGUGUGUGGAAAGUUUUUCGGUCUGGGAUGGACUCGCGGCCUAUCAGCUUGUUGGUGAGGUAAUGGCUCACCAAGGCGACGACGGGUAGCCGGCCUGAGAGGGCGACCGGCCACACUGGGACUGAGACACGGCCCAGACUCCUACGGGAGGCAGCAGUGGGGAAUAUUGCACAAUGGGCGAAAGCCUGAUGCAGCGACGCCGCGUGAGGGAUGACGGCCUUCGGGUUGUAAACCUCUUUCAGCAGGGAAGAAGCGCAAGUGACGGUACCUGCAGAAGAAGCACCGGCUAACUACGUGCCAGCAGCCGCGGUAAUACGUAGGGUGCGAGCGUUGUCCGGAAUUAUUGGGCGUAAAGAGCUUGUAGGUGGUUUGUCGCGUCUGCUGUGAAAAUCCGAGGCUCAACCUCGGACUUGCAGUGGGUACGGGCAGACUAGAGUGUGGUAGGGGAGACUGGAAUUCCUGGUGUAGCGGUGGAAUGCGCAGAUAUCAGGAGGAACACCGAUGGCGAAGGCAGGUCUCUGGGCCAUUACUGACACUGAGAAGCGAAAGCAUGGGGAGCGAACAGGAUUAGAUACCCUGGUAGUCCAUGCCGUAAACGUUGGGAACUAGGUGUGGGUCUCAUUCCACGAGAUCCGUGCCGCAGCUAACGCAUUAAGUUCCCCGCCUGGGGAGUACGGCCGCAAGGCUAAAACUCAAAGGAAUUGACGGGGGCCCGCACAAGCGGCGGAGCAUGCGGAUUAAUUCGAUGCAACGCGAAGAACCUUACCAAGGCUUGACAUACACCGGAAUCACUCAGAGAUGGGUGCGUCUUCGGACUGGUGUACAGGUGGUGCAUGGUUGUCGUCAGCUCGUGUCGUGAGAUGUUGGGUUAAGUCCCGCAACGAGCGCAACCCUCGUUCUAUGUUGCCAGCACGUCAUGGUGGGGACUCAUAGGAGACUGCCGGGGUCAACUCGGAGGAAGGUGGGGAUGACGUCAAAUCAUCAUGCCCCUUAUGUCUUGGGCUUCACGCAUGCUACAAUGGCCGGUACAAAGGGCUGCGAAACCGCGAGGUGGAGCGAAUCCCAAAAAACCGGUCUCAGUUCGGAUUGGGGUCUGCAACUCGACCCCAUGAAGUCGGAGUCGCUAGUAAUCGCAGAUCAGCAACGCUGCGGUGAAU
rnacentral:rRNA from 1 species